rnacentral:rRNA from 1 species
AACGAACGCUGGCGGCAUGCCUAACACAUGCAAGUCGAACGAGAGCUUCGGGACUGGUGGCGCACAGGUGCGUCACGCGGCGGAACCUGCCCGUAUACUCGGGAUACCACCCCGACAGGGGUGCUAAUACAGGGUAAUUUAUUCUGACCAAAGAUGUAUCGCCUUGGUAGGGGCACGAGUUGUAUUGGCUGGUUGGUAGUGUAAAAGCCUACCAAGGCGACGAUCGAUAGCUGGGCUGAGAGGCUGAUCAGCGACACUGGGACUGAGACACGGCACGGACUCCUACGGGAGGGAGCAGUGGGGAAUAUUGGACAAUGGGCGGAAGCCUGAUCCAGCAAUGCCGCGUGAGUGAUGAAGUCCUGAGGGUUGUAAAGCUCUUUUAUCCGGGAUGAUAAUGACAGUACCGGGAGAAUAAGCACCGGCUAACUCCGUG